CAGCAGCCGCGGUAAUACGUAGGUGGCAAGCAUUGUCCGGAUUUAUUGGGCGUAAAGCGAGCGCAGGCGGUUAGAUAAGUCUGAAGUUAAAGGCUGUGGCUUAACCAUAGUACGCUUUGGAAACUGUUUAACUUGAGUGCGGAAGGGGAGAGUGGAAUUCCAUGUGUAGCGGUGAAAUGCGUAGAUAUAUGGAGGAACACCGGUGGCGAAAGCGGCUCUCUGGUCUGUAACUGACGCUGAGGCUCGAAAGCGUGGGGAGCAAACAGGAUUAGAUACCCCCGUAGUCCCUGUCUCUUAUACC
rnacentral:rRNA from 1 species